rnacentral:rRNA from 1 species
CCUACGGGUGGCAGCAGUGAGGAAUAUUGGUCAAUGGCCGAGAGGCUGAACCAGCCAAGUCGCGUGAGGGAAGACGGCCCUACGGGUUGUAAACCUCUUUUGUCGGGGAGCAAAGCGAGUCACGUGUGACUCCUUGAGAGUCCCCGACGAAAAAGCAUCGGCUCACUCCGUGCCAGCAGCCGCGGUAAUCCGGGGGAUGCGAGCGUUAUCCGGAGUUUUUGGGUUUAAAGGGGGCGCAGGCGGAGGUGCACGUCAGCGGUCAAAUUGCGGGGCUCAACCCCGUACUGCCGUUGAAACUGCAUCCCGUGAGUGUGCGAGAAGUAUGCGGAAUGCGUGGUGUAGCGGUGAAAUGCAGAGAGAUCACGCAGAACUCCGAUUGCGAAGGCAGCAUACCGGCGCGCAACUGACGCUCAUGCACGAAAGCGUGGGUAUCGAACAGGAUUAGAUACCCGGGUAGUC